UACGGAGGGUGCAAGCGUUAAUCGGAAUUACUGGGCGUAAAGCGUGCGCAGGCGGUUUGUUAAGUCCGUUGUGAAGCCCCGAGCUCAACUUGGGAAUUGCAGUGGAUACUGGCAGGCGUGGAGUACGGUAGAGGAAGGUGGAAUUCCCGGUGUAGCAGUGAAAUGCGUAGAUAUCGGGAGGAACACCAGUGGCGAAGGCGGCCUUCUGGACCAGUACUGACGCUCAUGCACGAAAGCGUGGGGAGCAAACAGG
rnacentral:rRNA from 1 species